GGCUCCCUGAGUUUCAAGAAUGGGGAGUCGGGCCUGCCCGGUGAAUUUUUUUAACGGCCGCGGUACUCUGACCGUGCAAAGGUAGCAUAAUCAUUUGCCUUAUAAUUGAAGGCUUGUAUGAAUGGUUUGACAAGAAUGUGACUGUCUCUUUACAAUUAUUUAGAAUUUUAUUUAUAGGUGAAGAAGCCUAUAUUAUAAUGAUAGACAAGAAGACCCUAUCGAGCUUAAAAGAAGUCAGUAAAGUUAAAAUUAAUAUUAAUUAAAAAAUUAAUUACUGAAAAUUUUGGUUGGGGCGACAGAGGAACAAAUAAAGCUUCCUUUUAAUAAUAAAUAGCAAACAAGCAAUGAUCCAAAAACUUUGAUUAAAGAAAUUAGUUACCGUAGGGAUAACAGCAUUAUCUUUUUUGAGAGCUCUAAUCGAAAAAAAGGUUUGUGACCUCGAUGUUGGACCAGAAUAUCCUAAAGAUGCAGCCGUCUUUAAGGGUUGGUCUGUUCGACCAUUAAAAUUCUACGUGAUCUGAGUUCAGACCGGCGUGAGCCAGGUCAGUUUCUAUCUUCAUUUUCUAAAGUAAGCUUAGUACGAAAGGACCAGCUUAUAGCAAAUAGGUUGUUUAAAGUGAUUAGGUAUAAAGAAGAGUUAAGAAAAUAAAGUUAUUAAAUUAAAUAAAGAUCAGAUUAGCAAAGAUUAAUGCAAUUGACUUAGGAUCAAUAGACAUAGGUGAAAUUCCUUUAUUUGAUAUAUUUAAAAUUAUUUGAAAUAAAGGUGGCAGAUAAA
rnacentral:rRNA from 1 species